GGGCCUUCAUAGGAUCAGGCUUUCGAAGAUAUCCUUCUCCUUCAAUUUCUAUGAGAAUCUAUGCUUGAAGGGUAGACAAAGGAGUGUAGGAAUUCAAGUGCCGAGGUGGGCUUCUUAACCUCGAAUUUUUCUAAGGUUGGUUGAAGCCAUUAUUAUUUUGCUGAGCUUCACCAUCUUCAUUCGAUCGUUUCUUUAUAUUUUCUUCUUUUCUCACCUGAUGAGUAUGCUUUCUUCCUCUUCAACUUGUGCACACUUUCAUACCCGAAUGAUCAUUUGCUCACAGUUAUUUGGAUAGUUUUUAUUGAGGGAGAAGAUCAGACGGUUGCUCCUGAGUUCUUGC
rnacentral:lncRNA from 1 species